rnacentral:rRNA from 1 species
CGCUGGCGGCGUGCCUAAUACAUGCAAGUCGAGCGAACUGACGAGAAAAGCUUGCUUUUCUCUGACGUUAGCGGCGGACGGGUGAGUAACACGUGGGCAACCUGCCCUAUAGACUGGGAUAACUCGCGGAAACGCGUGCUAAUACCGGAUAAUACGUAGAAAUGCAUGUUUCUAUGUUGAAAGAUGGUUCUGCUAUCACUAUAGGAUGGGCCCGCGGCGCAUUAGCUAGUUGGUAGGGUAACGGCCUACCAAGGCGACGAUGCGUAGCCGACCUGAGAGGGUGAUCGGCCACACUGGGACUGAGACACGGCCCAGACUCCUACGGGAGGCAGCAGUAGGGAAUCUUCCACAAUGGGCGAAAGCCUGAUGGAGCAACGCCGCGUGAGCGAAGAAGGUCUUCGGAUCGUAAAGCUCUGUUGUAAGGGAAGAACAAGUGCAGUAGUAACUGACUGCACCUUGACGGUACCUUAUUAGAAAGCCACGGCUAACUACGUG